UACGUAGGGGGCAAGCGUUGUCCGGAAUCAUUGGGCGUAAAGAGCGUGUAGGCGGCCCGGUAAGUCCGCUGUGAAAGUCGGGGGCUCAACCCUCGAAUGCCGGUGGAUACUGUCGGGCUAGAGUACGGCAGAGGGGGGUGGAAUUCCACGUGUAGCAGUGAAAUGCGUAGAGAUGUGGAGGAACACCAAUGGCGAAGGCAGCCCCCUGGGUCGAUACUGACGCUCAUGCACGAAAGCGUGGGUAGCAAACAGG
rnacentral:rRNA from 1 species